UACUAAGGUUUGGAAUAAACCUCUAUAAUCAUUCAUAAAUAUUUAAUAAGUGUUUACACUAAGUAAACACCUCACCAAUUCAAUAUUGAUCAAGAGACAUAGCCUAUCAAUCAUCUACAAUCAGUGCGUUCAAUCAAGAAAUAUUCAUUCACUACUCAUCAAUCAUCUAUCUAGACUCACCUUUGAUUCUUUGAGAUUGGCUAAUCAAGACUAGACUCGAGCUCAAGCUAAUCACACUCCACUUCUUCUUCACUUCCAGAUUAAAAUUAAAGACAAGGCAUAAUCGGGCUGACCACUCCAAUCUCCUCGGGUAACUGAACAAAACAAAAUUGUUGGAACUUAAGGUUCAUCAUUCCGGUUCAAGAAGAAACUCAUCUCAACUUAUAACGUUUCAGUUUAGUUCCGCUAGUAUCAGUUUGGUACAAGACAAGUUCAGCUCUGGUCCUAAGUAAACUCAGACUAUAUCAGUAGAUGACAAGUUCAGACCAUAGACAGCUCGGCUCAGAUCAGUUGAGGACAAGAUCAAAUCAGUUCGGUUUGAUUCAGACAAUUCAUAUAAGUUCAGCUACUGGUUCUAUGAUACAAAUUCAAUCAUACACCAACCAAGAGUGAACCAUAUAUUAAUUUACACAACUGUUCCUGAUAGGUUUAUCAAGACACAUCACUUUGUUAUCAUCAAAAAGAACUGAAACAAGAGACUGAAGCUUAACAAAAACGGAUCUCAUCAAACCCAUAAGCUCUUACCGAUUUAAAUCAACAAUCUUCUGAAUUCAGAUGGUACACAACAUAUCGUUGAAGCCACUCCUAACCUGAUCAGUGCCAUAUCAAGUCAAGGUCGGAUUCAUUCAGACAAAGCCUCAAGCGUUUCCAAACCAACAGAACUUCUCACUGAAAACUGAUCAAAAUACAUCUUACCGAUCAAAACCAAAGGCUGAAGAACAUGGGUGAUUCUGAACUUCAGGACACCAAAUAUUCAGCUCUUAACUACACCAAUACUCACUGAUUAAAGUCAGAAGAGGGGGAGAAAGGGUCGUCCAAGCUCACUUCUCUUCUCUUAUUUUUUUCUGAAUUUUUCAUGUAUUUUCCUCACAGAUUUUUCUCUCUUUCUUUCUCUCUUUCUCUCUGAAUUUUUCUUUCUUGUUUCUGAGAUGAAUGAGCUCGACCAGGAAGAGGACAAGGUAAUAAAUGACAGGGGAAACAGCAGGAGAAGAGUCAGCAAGAAAGGACAAAAGUUUCAGAUCAAUAUGAGACAUGUGGUGGGCUGAAUCACACUGUCUUCCCAUGAAGUAAUGUCAUUUCCUUUCCAUGAAGAAACUUCAAGCAGGUGUGCAACUCACAUGACUUUAAUGUAGCAAGCAAGCUGGAAGGUGCAAGUCACAUGUUCAGGUCAGGAAGGAAGCAAGCAGCCAGGCAGCACAUGACAUGCACAUGACUCGCAAGCAGCUGAAAGUAUUCAAGACCAGUUUUCGAUAAAAUGUUUCCCAUCCAUCGGUUCUCGUCCAGCUUAUUAAGAGUAGGUACUUUAGCCUCGAGACAGUCCCAUCAAGAAUAAUUCACCGGGUCGAUUUUUAUUUUUAAUUCUGGUCGAACCAACUCCAAACUGGUUGAGCGGGAUUUUUCUCGACCAAAAUUAUAUAUGCUUGUGAGCGUUAUUACAUUCUUCCCUCCUCAAAAGAAUUCGUCCCCGAAUUCUGAAAACAUAGCUGUACACACUUUACUGAACACUGUCUCUGAAAGGAGUUCUGGAUAUUAGCUCUUACCUUAUCUUAAUAUUCCCAUAUCAAAACAACUCAUGGUCGAUCCCUUGAUUCCCCCAACCGAUCCUUUCUUUUCUGAGCAGCCACUUUCAAGAUAACCAAAUUCUUUACUCUGCACAACUCUUGUCAACUGCGGUCUGCAUACUUUUUAUAACAAUCUUGUAUCUGUAGACUAUCACUUCUCAACCUUUUCUAUCUGGCUUUCCCCCAUAACAGCAACAUGAAAUUUGGAACGUGAGGUGAUGUGCCAAACGUGAAUGUAACAUCUCCAGUCUGGUCAAUUUUAACUUGAUUAACCGUGCAACAAUCAAACAAGAACAUGCACGAUCAAUCACGCCAACAUGAUUCGGACCAGGGGUGCUACUCUCAAAUAAACACACUCACCCAUUCCAAGAAUAAUUUCACUUACAGUAUUCUUUACACUUCUGAUCUAUCUGAGACGCUCUUAAAACACACUCACCCAUUCCAAGAAUAAUUUUACUUACAGUAUUCUUUACACUUCUGAUCUAUCUGAGAUGCUCUUCAUAAUCUUUUGACUACUACUAGAACUCGGCAAGAACCACUUGGUGAGAUCCCUAGGCUAUGGCAGCGAAUCCAGGUUCAACGAGAAUAUUGAACAGCUUACUUCUAGAUAGCAACAACUCUUCCAAUUCCUUAAGCAUAACUUCAAAUUCUCUAGCUAUCUGAUUGUUCACUAUAUUCUGAUCCUUGUCAUCUCCUCUUUUCCUAAUUAUCAAGAUAAUGGAAUCACAUCUUCACCUUUUCCCAAAAGGUCUUCAAUUUGCCAGACUGAUAUGAGCGAUACUCAAACACUUGGUAGAGUACCAUUGUAGGCCAACAGUGACGGGUCUUCUUCGUAAUACUUAUUUCCCAGACAUCCUAAUUGAGCUCGGUAACUAGAUAGCCAAUCUCACUCUAGAUAGAAACAUACCGCUCUAACGGAAGUACUGAGGAAUGGGGAAAGGCAUACCAUAAAUUUUAACUGGUAGCCAGUACUUCCAAGAAUAAGAACGGGUACUUGAAUUCACUAAAGUGAAUCCUACUUACAACUAUGACAAUACUCGGGAACUACAACUACGUGCGGUUCCCAAAUCAAACACAAUAUGGACGGAAAAUUCCAUCCAUAUGCAAGGUCUCUUACGACACCUUGAUCACAAUUCACAUUUUUUUUUUAAUUUCAAUCAUUCAUAAAAUUUUAAAAAUGCACACAACACACAAUGGGAUAAGAAGCAAACCUGUGGUUGGACCUUUCAGGGGUUUUGACGGUCCAGUCAACUAUAAAGUGUAGGCUCUACCCAAAUAACCUAACACUUGGAUGUGGACUAACGGUAAGGAAACGCGGACAAGUUCAACAAGUGUUUUCUUAGGUAUAGGUAACGUAGACCGGGUAACUUCAUGAGGAAGGGUAACCUAAAAUCCUAACUCUUCACAAGAACCACCAAAGCGCGAAUGAUGCAAACGUUCCAAGAUUUUCCACACUUUGACAAUCACGACCAUUCUGACUUGCUAGUCACAACCAUAACGGCUCAAGGUCCUCAAUCUUGAUCUGAUGAAAUGUACAACCAAAAUCAUCCCCAACGACUUACUUAACUCACUGCUUGAAACUGACCUUCGAUCUUCACUGGUUGGAUUAAACGGUAUGCAUGACUUGGUUAAUUUCUUCAGAAAUAAUAGCUUCUUUAACAUUCACGUCAUACUCUAACAUCUCCUCGAAGCUUUGAAACUCCAUGGUCUUUUAUCUACUCCAAAAUUCUUGGUUAAGUUUCCAAAGAUUUUCCGUAUGAUCUUUGGCUUAUUCUCCAAACCAUAAUCGAUGAAUGAAAUUCACUCGACCACAUAUCUCGAUGCUGAAAUUGUUGUAUAUGAUUAACUCGACCUGAACCUCCUGGCGGAAACAUCCCACUGUACCAACUCCGUAAACUAAAUCUUCGAUCGGUCCCAUAUCUUGUGUACAAAAUUCUACUUCUUAAACUCUCGAGAUCUGUCCAACUCGAUCUCACCUCUCUGAAGUAAUUCUUGACUCUCGACCCACAAAUCAUCGUGUUCAUCUCCAAAUAGCUUGCUACCAAAUCCUUCAUGUAAUUCUCUGAACAUUGGCCACGUCAAUGUUUUGCUCUGGGUGUUUCAUCCCAAAUUUGCCUCAAGCCAAAGUAUACCUCAAAUGGUUUAGUGUUUCUUCAGUAUCUUAUCGUCCCAACUUCUUCUUCUUUGCAUCAUAAGCUUCAUGAUAUUCCGUAUGCUUUUGGUGCUUUCAUCAUCUUGUAAUACAGUCAAACCAUCUCUUCGUCCAAUGCUAAGCUUGAAACAAAUACAUAAAAAUUUGGCUUGUACGGCUCUGGUGCUUGUACGUCUCAGCAUAAGCUUGGCAUUGAUUACACACGAGUCCGGAGAUAUAUUCGAUGUAUAAAAUCUGUCCCAUAUAUCUCUGUAAUGAAUUGGAAUCCCCCACUAAAACUCAAAAGAACGACAGGAAGGCAUGACGUUACUGACUCUUAACAGGGCGGUAGUGAACCCGACCAUGAGGGUAGCAAACUCGAGCAUAAUGAUAGUAACAACGGUAAGCACAGUCCACCCGUUCAAUCUUGUCUCGGUGCUUCUGCUAUGAAAGAUCACGGUUAGGUAACUACCCAUGACUGUCUAUGUAGAAACCCGUUAAAAAAAAAAAAAAAAAAAAAAAAAAGAAAAGAGUGGUCGAGUAUCUUUGUGGUGGUCGAGUCGCAUGCGAUAUGGAUCGAUCAAGAAGCUUUGAAGUACGAGGUGGGCAAAGAAGUGAUCGUGAGUGAACUAUGAGUCAAAUAAGUUGCUCGACCAUAGUUAGAAGAUGUCUUAGAUUGAUGAGACGGACGUUUUCGAAGCAUAACAUUUUUGGAAGCACGACGGUUUAGAAGCUCGACGUUUUGGAAGAAUGACGUUUCUUCAGCAUGAAGUUUUCCGCGAAACUUCGUAUCAGCGGAAUAUUAAUUCGAAGACAUUGGAAACAUGAUGGGAAUUAAGCACGACGGGAAGUAAGCACGACGGGAAGCAAGCACGACGGGAUUGAAGCACGACGGGAAAACCCGAAAUUAGACUAAAACCCUAAUUUCGGUAUUAUGCAAGUCUUCGAUGAAGCCGAAGGAUCGGGAAAUAUUUACCGCCAAGGUCAGACUUCAGAUUGGAGUUUAUUAAAAAUAUUAAACUCAUCUGAAUGGGAGAAGAAAGAUAUUCGGGAUUAAUCGCCGGUCAGAAAUUUAUCGGAAGGACCAAAAUCAGGCCAAUGGACCGAGAAGCUCGAGGUGGCUUGUUGCAUGGGUUCAGAACGUGGUGUCAACUGUCCAGCAAGAUGAGUGUCUACAGAAGCUCGAGGUGUCGACGUGCAUGUAAGCUGCACAUGCAGCUUGACAUGUAGAAGCACGAGGUGGAUCGACCAAGCACGAGGUGUCUCCGCGCAUGCAACCGAAGCAUGCGGCCAGCCAUGUGUGUGAUGCUGUGGCGCCUUGCAUGAGUUCCAGUCAUGCAGCCUGACAUCUGGGAGGAGUGGUGGCGUCCUGCAUGUUUCAUGGACAUGCAGCCAGCCAUGUGGAGCACGAGGUGGAUCGGCCAAGCACGAGAUGUCGCGACGCAUGCAAUCGAAGCAUGCUGAUCGACAUGUGUGAGGAUGUGUGGCGCAUUGCAUGAGCUCUAGUCAUACAGCCUGACAUCUGGGAGGAGUGGUGGCGUCCUGCAUGUGUCCUGGACAUGCAGCCAGCCAUGUGGAGCACGAGGUGCCGCCGUGCAUGCGUCCGGAGCCAUGCGGAGCGACACACGGGCUGCCACCAACCUGAAGCUGAUUGGCUGGUGUCUCCUAUAAAUACCCCACGACCCCAGAUCAUUUCUUCACAUCCAGACCUGUCCAAACCAAGUUAAAAACAUGAGAGAAAAGUAGAAAAAGAAAGCAAGUGAUUCCGAGCUAUAUCGAGAGUUUUAGAGAGUUUUCGAGGUCAGUUCUCUACUGAUUUCGAGUCAGCACCUUGGGAAGGUUCUGUCCAACUGAAGGUUAAUCAAGUGAAGAUCAGAUCAGAUGGGAGUCAAGUCAACGUGGCUAUGGAGAGAGAGAGAGAGAGAGAGAAAGGAAGUGAUCGAUUCUAGAGUAUGGUCGAUUCUGAAGACCGAUACUCCACCGAGAAGGCCAAUUCCGUCCAAUCGGCGAUUCUCUACGAUUGUGACGCGGAAGCUCUGUCCUAUUCAAUCCGUCCAGGCCAGUAAUAUUCUGUGAUGGUCAAGUGGAGGUGCUGUCCGGAGUUAGUUCAGAUCCACGGGUUCAGAUCAGUCGAAGUUCUGCUCGAUAUUCCACCGGGAAGGCCGAAGAACUGUCCAGAAGCUAGAGGAGGUUCUGUCCGAGUCCAGAUCAGUCCAUCCAGACCUGUUAGUGUCUUCAUGAUCAAGCCGAGGGUCUGUCCAAGUCGAGGUCAGUUCAGUCCAGUCCAGUCAAGGCGUCCCUUGGGUUUUGGCCAAGUCCUCUCCGAUCAACCAGCAGCUUCUCGCCUAGAACACUGUGAGUUGGUUUGUUUGAAUUCCACUUGGAAUUUAGGGUAGAUCGAGUCGCAUAUAGAGUAGAAUGAUCACGUUAUUGAAUGGUAGAGUCCUUAGGGUUAUUUUAUUUAUGGAACCGGACUCAGUUUAGCAAGGGCUAAGCUGAGAUGAAUGGAAUUAAGACUGAGUUAAUAACCUGACUAGGACUAGGGCUAGGAUGCAUCAUGUUUUCUAUUAUUGCGUGUUGAUAUUGUUGAGUGCAGGUUCCCGUUAUCUUUAAAGAUAGUUUCUCAGCGGGAGGCUGGACUAUCUGGGUAACGGUUUGAUUGUAUUGUUUAGUAUUGAUAUUAUUGUUUAGUUGUUAGUACUAAGGGUCUUAGGCCAUAUAGGCUGGACUACUGGUACUACUGGUUUGUGUUGUAGAGUUGAGUGUCUAGUUAGGAUCUGGAACUUUAUCGUUACGUUAGGUUCUAGAUUGAGUUUGUGUUGUGUGAGUGGUGCCGACAGUAUGUGCGUAACCCGCCCAUACUAGGCUUGUGUAGGGGUGAUUAGUGUUUCCUCGGCCUCGUACCCAGCGGGUUCAAGGAAACCCCUUAUUCGCUGGAUCGGGAAGACUCAGACGAACGGUGUCAUGUACUAUGGCUGAGUAUUACACGACGGUGUAAUGUGGCAGUGACCCGAAGGACUGUUGGCUGUCGCGCGGUGACCCGAAGGACUGUGGGCCGCGGUCGGUUGAAAGUUCCUUCUUCUGGCCUUUGUGGUAGGGAGAUAGGAUAUUACCGAUAGAGAGGAGGAACACGAAGUCACUAGGGCCCAGGUUAGAGUGUUGUGUUAGAGUGUCGUAGAGGGUUAUGGAACCCUCGAGUUAGUGUAGCACCGAUAUACGGUGUUACAAGUUAGAUCGAGUCGUAGUUACUCAUAGUCUUAUUAGUGUGAUUGUGUUUGUGGUUGAUUGAUUUGCUUGCAGGUUCUGACAUUAAGUCCUAAGUCUGGCUUAGGUACCGGAUUAGGCUUGAUGUGUAUUUUGUUAGUGUAGGCCUGACGUUUGCCUAUAUGUGUUUGAGUGAUUGCUUGUGAAGGGUGGUGGAUAUUAAAGCUAUGCGGUAUCAUUGGUUGGCCGAUCAUGUUCUUGUUUGAUUGUUGGUCGAUCGGCCAAUGGUAUUUGUAUAGUCUAAGUGUCUAACACUACAUGAGUACUGAACUCAAGCGUAUAUAUGGUUAACUAGGGAUUGCUUGUUGACUUGUUUUAAUGCAGGUUCCCGUUACUUGAAGCUAGAUCAUGGCAGGAGGCCAAGUCUAACUUAGUAACGGUUUGCUUAGCCUUAGCUUUUAUUGCAUGCUAGGGCUAGAUUGAUUGUUAUUUUGGGUUGUCUGGGUAGAGUCUAGGUUGCGGGUAGAGGCCGCCAGCUCACUGAGUAAUACUAGAUUACUCAUCCAACUCCGUUGUCCUUUUUGCAGGUCGCUUUAGGUAAGGAUGAUCAGAUAGCUUGGUGCUGGACGUUAGGACCGCCGGUGUAGAUUUUCAUGCCUUUUGUAAACGGUAUUGUGAAAUGUGUUAUGUUAACUCGAUUUGACAUUAGGCCGGGCCCAGUCUUGAAUUAUUCAAUGUAUGAAUAUUUCUUGGAUCAAUAAAAGUAAUUGUUUUAUAUGCGCUUCAUGAGUACUCUGAUAUUUGACUAGUCCGGUCUAACACAACGUUAGGUCGUGGUACGGGUUGAAAAGCCUUAGGCAUCGAUCUAACGGAAAACGCUAACUCUAGGUACGGGUUGCAAAGCCUUAUGCCUUGACGCAGCGGGACGAGUUAGUGGAUGAACUGGUCUAGGCCGUGGAGUAAAGUUUGUGACUCUGACCGGAUUGUCCCUAGCCCGUCACGUAGCGCUUUCGGACCAUGGUGUUGGGUUGGACGGUCAGUCAUGUUCUUGUUUGAUUGUUGGCUGGCCGAUUGGCCUUUCAUCUCCAACCCUUGGUGUGGGUCGUCCGUCGGUCAUGUUCUUGUUCGAUUGUUGGCCGGUGGGUCGACCUAUGCUUAGGACGGUUCGGGGGUGUUACAGUCUAUCCUAAAAUAAAGGAACAAGCCAGCAUAUCCUAGUUACCCUUGUGACUCAUUUUGACUCGAAAAACAUUUGAAACAAGUCCCAUUCUAGCAUCGUAUAACCAUGCUCUGAUACCACCUUUGGGACACCCCCGAUCGUAGAUGACCAGAAAUGACACGGUCGAUGUUCCUCGAUGGUCGAUCCGAGGUUCUCAGAAUACUUCCGAUCGCCUUAGACCAACAACCAAAGAACACCAACACUCCUAUCAGAUAUCACUCUAGGCUUUUCAACCCGAAGAAGCAAUACCCGAUAGUUAGUUCGUCCGGACAAGGACUAAUAUCAUAUGGAACCCGUACUUAAAAAAAACAUUCUUUAUUUAAAAGCCUCUUACAAAAUUUGUUAUAAAUUAACCUCGAGGUUUUCGGUCAAUAAAUCUUAUACAUAAGAAAUAUCAAAACAACUUUGCAAGGAUAAUAAAACUACCGCUGGCUAAUGAUGUUCCUUUCCGUCCUAGAGUAAGGUCUCCCGCCUAUUGGUUACCUGCAUCACAAAUGAGUCAUGAGUAACUAGUUUACUCAGUGAGCCUAGUCCCACACCCCAACAUAUAUUAAUAAUAUCUCAAGCAAUCAACUUCAUUUGUAUUCAGUGGAAAUAUAUUCCAUAUCUAGAUAUUUAUAUAUAAGGACUAUCCUUCCAUCAUUGUGAAUCUAAUCAUAUACCUCACUUCCUAUUCCCGUCUCUGAUAUCAUUCAUAUAAUCAUAUAUAUAUAAAGCUAAACGAGUCUAGCGAGUUAGAAUCACCAUCAUCGCCAUCAGAUAUUUAAAAAUUGAACAUCUAACGCUUCAUGCAGUUACACGGCCUCCAGGGUGCGACCCCAUCAUCGUGUCUUCGUGACCUUGUUCCAUAUCGCAGGACCAAUUCACAGUAAUCAUCAUUCAUACGGGAAUAUUUUGGAAGACAGGUUUAUAAUAAGACUUCACAUGAUUAAUACUUCCAUAAUUAAUUAUAUUUAAUACUAUACAUAUGUAUUAGUACUUGAGAACAAGUACUAAGGUUUGGAAUAAACCUCUAUAAUCAUUCAUAAAUAUUUAAUAAGUGUUUACACUAAGUAAACACCUCACAAAUUCAAUAUUGAUCAAGAGACAUAGCCUAUCAAUCAUCUACAAUCAGUGCAUUCAAUCAAGAAAUAUUCAUUCACUUCUCAUCAAUCAUCUAUCUAAACUCACCUUUGAUUCUUUGAGAUUGGCUAAUCAAGACUAGACUCGAGCUCAAGCUAAUCACACUCCACUUCUUCUUCACUUCCAGAUUAAAAUUAAAGGCAAGGCAUGAUCGGGCUGACCAUUCCAAUCUCCUCGGGUAACUGAACAAAACAAAAUUGUUGGAACUGAAGGUUCAUCAUUCCGGUUCAAGAAGAAACUCAUCUCAGCUCAUAACGUUUCAGUUUAGUUCCGCUAGUAUCAGUUUGGUACAAGACAAGUUCAGCUCUUGUCCUAAAAAUUCAGUUAAACUCAGACUAUAUCAGUAGAUGACAAGUUCAGACCAUAGACAGCUCGGCUCAGAUCAGUUGAGGACAAGAUCAAAUCAGUUCGGUUUGAUUCAGACAAUUCACAUAAGUUCAGCUACUGGUUCUAUGAUACAAAUUCAAUCAUACACCAACCAAGAGUGAACCAUAUAUGAAUUUAGACAACUGUUCCUGAUAGGUUUAUCAAGACACAUCACUUUGUUAUCAUCAAACAGAACUCAAACAAGAGACUGAAGCUUAACAAAAACGGAUCUCAUCAAACCCAUAAGCUCUUACCGAUUUAAAUCAACAAUCUUCUGAAUUCAGAUGGUACACAACAUAUCGUUGAAGCCACUCCUAACCUGAUCAGUUCCAUAUCAAGUCAAGGUCGGAUUCAUUCAGACAAAGCCUCAAGCGUUUCCAAACCAACAGGACUUCUCACUGAAAACUGAUCAACAUACAUCUUACCGAUCAAAACCAAAGGCUGAAGAACAUGGGUGAUUCUGAACUUCAGGACACCAAAUAUUCAGCCCUUAACUACACCAAUACUCACUGAUUAAAGUCAGAAGAGGGGGAGAAAGGGUCGUCCAAGCUCACUUCUCUUCUCUUAUCGUUUUCUGAAUUUUUCAUGUAUUUUCCUCACAGAUUUUUCUCUCUUUCUUUUUCUCUUUCUCUCUGAAUUUUUCUUUCUUGUUUCUGAGAUGAAUGAGCUCGACCAGGAAGAGGACAAGGUAAUAAAUGACAGGGGAAACAGCAGGAGAAGAGUCAGCAAGAAAGGACAAAAGUUUCAGAUUAGUAUGAGACAUGUGGUGGGCUGAAUCACAUGACUCGCAAGCAGCUGAAAGUAUUCAAGACCAGUUUUCGAUAAAAUGUUUCCCGUCCAUCGGUUCUCGUCCAGCUUAGAUAAAACUCGACCAUAAUAGUUAACACUUGGUCAGAACUAUUAAGAGUAGGUACUUUGGCCUCGAGACAGUCCCAUCAAGAAUAAUUCACCGGGUCGAUUUUUAUUUUUAAUUCUGGUCGAACCAACUCCAAACUGGUUGAGCGGGAUUUUUCUCGACCAAAAUUAUACUCCCUCCGUUUUUUAUUAUAAGUCGUUUUAGAGAAACUUUUUUGUUCCAAAUUAUAUGUCGUUUUCGGUUUUCUAUGUAAAAUUUAUUAAUAAUUAAUGUUGAAUGACCAAUGGUAAUAUAUUUUAUAUUUUUCUAUUGGUUGAAUUGUGGUUAGGUAAAUAAUUAAUGAUGUUUUUGUUUAGAAAAUAUAAGAAAUUAAUGGUUUUCUUAAUCUACGUGCAUAGCUGUAAAACGACUUAUAUUAAAAAACGGAGGGAGUAUAUGCUUGUGAUCGUUAUUACACGAGUGGCCAAAGGUCACGAGUUACCAAGGGUUGUGAGUUACCAAAGGUCACGAGUUCCAAAGGUUGUGAGUUGCCAAAGGAUGUAAGUAACCAAGGGUUACGAACAUCAAGAGGUACGAGGACCAAGAGGUACGAGGACCAAGAGGUACCAAGGACCGAAGGGGUGCAUGUUCCAAACGCUGCCUGUUGAGACAGGUCAUGUCCGUUCCUUAAGGGAUCAGACCAUGUCUUGUUCGUUGGGAAAAGUACACGGUUCGUCUAAGUCAGGGUAAGAGUCGCAAGGUCUGAUCGGCCGUUUGGCCUAACCGGAUUGGGCGUGAGGCUUACUCGGCCGUUGGAUCCAGGCACAAGGCUGGAUCAGCUAAGGAAGUCCGUUGGGCCAUUGAGCCGGACUUCAACUAGGCCGGUCGCACCUAGAUUCUAUCCCGAUAGACGGAUUGGUCUUCGGGAUGAUCCGGACUGUUCGUGUGUUCUGUUUAUCUAUUCUGGACUGUCAAGGGGUGGUUGGUUGAAUAACUUAGGAUUAGGUAGGCAGGUUCAAAUCUUUUUAUAAGUAUAUUGUCCGAGGUUUAUCUGUGUUCUAGGAACCAAGCCAAGCAUUGUAGAAUCGACCAGUUCUAGUCUCGGUUAUGAUUAAUGCUUAUCUGGUUGUGGUUUUAAGAACUAAGGAUGGUUCUGGUCAAGCCAAGGAGCCGUGAAGGAUCGGUCAGUGAGAGGCUGUGUAACGUGUGGUUAGAUGAUGCUAGGGAUGAACUAGUGAUUGUCUAUGAAACGAUUAAGAAGUUGUGUAUUGGAUCUCAUGUUUCUAAGUAAUACAUUUUAUACACAUUUAUAUUCCGCUGUGCUAUCUGUUCAAUUGUUUUAGAACCUCAGAUUUGAACAUGACUUAGUAAAGGAAAGACUUAAAAUGAAUCAAACAAGCAAAGAAAUUGAUUAAGUAGCAAACGGGUCCAGUUUCGUCGAGAGGCAGAUUCGGGCGUUACAAGUUGGUAUCAUAGCAUGCUUGAUUCUAGGAUAGUUGGGUUAUGUAGUCCACACACACGCAGCCAGCUGAUUCAGUCUCACGGUGAGGUUUGAUGGUUAGGUCUAGGGAUUAUUUGGUCUCGGUUAUAUUAUGUAUAUGUUGUACUAACAAUGUCUGAAUCCUUAGGCUGGGAGAAGCAAAUCAGGAAAGACCCAAAAGAGUAAGAGAAUGGCCGGUCAGUCUAGUCAAGCGGCCGCAGACGGAAUUAAUCUGUCCGGGUUACCAACCGAUCCAGCCGCGACUAACACCGGAGAUGUGUUGCCUACUGAUCAGGCCAAUCUUACUUAAACGCAACCAGAAGGUCAGCAACAUUAGGAAUGUGACGAGGAAGUAGAAUCCUCGAACGCUAACCGUGAUGGUGACCAGCGUGAGCAAAGGGCCGAGGGAACGGCCAACGUGCCCGCAGCACUGUCCCUAGAGGACUUGUUAGAGGCCAUGAAAGUAAUGGGUAACCAACUGGCGGCUAUGACUCAGCUGUUCACUCCACUAGUGAAUUCAUCAGUUGGUCAAGCUACACCUGUAGCUACGGCUACACCUAUUGCUACGGGUCCAGCUGGGGACGCGGUUGAGGUGAUCGUCGAUCCACCGGAAUGGUCGGAAAAGAAGGUUGACUAUCUUAGUUUGCUUCAGCAUCUAUCCAAAUUGGGUAUGAAGCAAUUCUCAGGUAGCAUCGACCCUGUUGUGGCAGAUGAGUGGAGGAGUAUGCUGGUCCGAAACUUUCAAUCAACUCGCUGUCCAGAGGAUUACAGGCGAGUUCACUUCCUGGAAGGAUUGCGGUUCACUUCCUGGAAGGGGAUGCGCAUAAUUGGUGGCUUGCAGUGGACAAGCGCACCAAUGGAAGUCUCACAAGUUUUUCGGACUUUGAAGUUGAAUUCAACAGCAAAUACUUUCCUGCGGAGUCUGGAAAGUUUUGCGGACUUUGAAGUUGAAUUCAACCGCAAAUACUUCCCUGCUGAGGCUUGGGAUCGUCUGGAAGCUAAGUUUCUAGAUUUGGUCCAAGGCCGCAGGACCGUACGGGAGUACGAAGAGGAGUUCAACCGGCUCAGACGGUUCGUUGAAAGAGAGCUGGAGGACGAGUCAGUCCAGGUCCGUAGGUUCAUCCGAGGCCUAAGGCCGGAACUGAAGACCCACUGCUCGAUCCGCACUUUCAAUACCAUCGGAUAACUGGUGGAACGGGUGGCUUUGUUAGAGUCUAACUUGGCUGAAGAAGCUAAGCUUAAGGCUAAGCCACAGUCUGGCCCAUUGGGCAAGACUAAUGAUAAAAAGAGAAAAUGGGACCAGGUGGACGGAGGGAAGACCUCUGGUGGCCGACCUGCGUGCUCGAAGGCCAAGGGGGCUUGUGUUCGUUGUGGCAGCAUGGACCAUGGAGUUCAAAACUGUCCUCGACCAAAUCCGUCUGGUAGAAGCGGCACGAUGACUUGUUUCCAUUGUGGCCAGCAAGGACAUUUCCAAUCGGAGUGUCCCAUGCUGCAAGGAAGUCAGGGGAAGGGCCGUGGAGACACAAGCAAGGCAUCCCAAGGCAAACCAACCACAACACCGAGGGUGUAUGAACUGUCACGAGACAACGGAGCUUCCGGAUCUUUUGAUUUGACCUCUGGAACCCUCAUGGUCGGUGGGGUAAAAACCCACGUGCUUUUCGACACAGGGGCUACACAUAGUUUUAUGAGUCCAGGACUGGUCGGAAACGGUCUGUUCUGUCUGGAUGCUGGUGAUAAUUUUGGGAUAGUGAGGGAGGCCUGUGGGCAAGCCAUGAACUCACUACGUCUCAUGUCGAAUAUCCCAGUACAGAUCCAGGGAAAGGUCUUCCCUGUGAAUCUGGUCUGUGUCCACGUAAAGAAUCAAGAAGUGAUCUUAGGUAUGGAUUGGUUGGGAAAGUACCGAGCCACUCUCGAUUGCCAUAAGGGUCAUGUGCAAUUGGAGAAUGGACUUCACCCGGUAGAGUACCAAGGUCUGUUUCAGGCUGAAGAGAAAGUAGUGAUUUCAGCAGUUCGAGCGAUUCGGCUGCUGGAACAGGGUUGUCAGUCAUUCUUGGCUACAAUUACAACUACAGAGCCUGACAGUUCUGGUUUUCUGUUAGACCCACGCGAGGAUUCGUUGGAGUCCGAGUUCCAGGAUGUGUUUCAGGCGCUACAGGGUGUCCUCCUUGAUAGGUCUGAUCCCUUUCUGAUUGAACUGGAACCAGGGACAGCUCCGCUGUCCAAGAGUCCGUAUCGAAUGGCUCCGGCCGAGAUGGCCGAGCUAAAGAAGCAAUUGGAAGAAUUGCUAGACAAGGGGUUCAUACGGCCAAGUAGCUCCCCUUGGGGUGCACCAGUGCUCUUUGUGAAAAAGAAGGAUGGUAGCAUGCAUCUGUGCAUCGACUAUCGAGGGUUGAACAGGGUAACUGUGAAGAACAAGUACCUGUUACCCAGGAUAAACGAGCUGUUGGAUCAGCUGAAAGGAGCUAAGUGGUUUUCUAAAAUUGAUUUGGCCUCGGGAAAUCAUCAGAUUCCUAUAGAGCCAAACGACAUUAGGAAGACAGCAGUUAGGACCAGGUACGGCCAUUACGAGUUCGUAGUGAUGCUGUUCGGUCUGACCAAUGCACCUGCUGCAUUCAUGAAAAUGAUGAACAGCGUGUACCGGGACUUCUUGGAUGAAUCGGUGAUUAUCUUCAUUGAUGAUAUCCUGAUCUAUUCCAAGGACGAGGAAUCUCAUCGGAAAUAUUUGAGAGCCGUGCUGGAACGAUUACGAGGGCACAAACUCUUUGCUAAACUCAGCAAGUGCAGUUUUUGGCAAACGAGUAUUGGGUUCCUUGGACAUAUUGUUUCUGACCAGGGCGUCUUAGUGGAUCUAGAGAAGAUCAGGGCAAUCAAGGAUUGGCCCCGACCACGCAGUGCCACGGAAGUUAGAAGCUUCCUAGGGCUGGCAGGUUACUAUAGAAAGUUUGUGAAGGGAUUCGCAAGCUUGGCUCAGCCGAUGACACGGUUGACUGGGAAGGACGUUAAGUGCACAUGGUCGAAAGAGUUUACGAGAUGUUUCUCUGCACUUAAGGAUAUGCUGACUAGCGCACCCGUCCUGGUUCUUCCGGAGGCAGACCAACCUUAUGUGGUCUACACGGAUGCGUCCAUCACUGGAAUCGGUUGCGUGUUAACUCAACAUGGGAAGGUCAUUGCUUACGCGUCAAGGAAGCUGAAGAAACAUGAGGGAAACUACCCCACCCAUGAUCUUGAAAUGGCUGCGGUAGUAUUCGCCUUAAAGAUUUGGCUAUCAUAUUUAUAUGGGGCCAAAGUCCAGAUACUUACGGACCAUAAAAGUAUGAAGUAUAUAUUCACCCAGCCUGAGUUGAACUUACGGCAGAGGAGGUGGAUGGAAUUCGUGGAUGACUACGACCUAGACAUCACUUACUAUACGGGCAAGGCUAAGCUUGUGGCCAACGCAAUGAGCCGGAAGCGAGAAGAAGUUGCGGCCGGUGGCGGAACGGACGAGCCGGAUGAGGCAGGACAUUUCGUCCGUUUAAAUGAUUUGAACGGGACGGACGGACCACGGGGAUUAGGGGCGGUGAAUAAGGCUGACCUGCUUACCCAGACCCGAGCGGCCCAAGAUCAGGACAAGAACCUGAAGACGGUUGCUCGGAACAACCUGACUGAGUAUCAAAUCGCCAAGGACGGUACGAUCUUAGUUCAUGGUCAGAUCAGCGUACCCAACGAUAGGAGUUGAAAGGACGAGAUCCUUAGAGAAUCUCACAAGUCUAGAUUCUCGAUCCAUCCUGGAGUGACCAAGAUGUAUCAUAAUCUCAGACAGUACUAUCAUUGGAUACGGAUGAAGGUCGAUGUGGCCGAAUGGGUGGCCAAGUGUCCUACUUGUCAACUCGUCAAGGCCGAACAACAAGUUCCGAGUGGACUGCUUUAGAGCCUACCUAUUCCGGAAUGGAAGUGGGAUCACAUCACGAUGGACUUCGUGACAGGUUUUCCCACAACCAGGAAUAGGAAUGAUGAUGUCUGGGUAAUAAUUGAUCGACUAACCAAGUCUGCCCACUUCCUGGCCAUCAAAAAGACUGAUGGAGACGACCGGAUUGUGUGUAAGUACAUUGACGAGACUGUGAGGCUACACGGAGUACCCUCAAGUAUAGUUUUGGAUAGAGAUUCGAGGUUCACUUCUCAGUUCUGGCAAGCUUUCCAGAAAGCUUUAGGAACGAGAGUAAACAUGAGUACGGCUUAUCAUCCCCAAACGGAUGGGCAGUCGGAAAGAACUAUACGGACGCUGGAGGAUAUGCUUCGAGCAUGUGUCUUCGAUUUGGGCGAUUCCUGGGAACGACAUUUUCCGGUAGUAGAGUUCGCCUACAAUAACAGUUUCCACUCAAGUAUAGGCAUGUUGCCAUAUGAAGCUUUGUAUGGACGACUAUGCAGGGCACCGUUAUGCUGGACCCAAGUGGGGGAGCGCAGCAUGAUAGGCCCUGAAAUCGUGGAGGAAACCACGGAGAAGAUCAAGUCCAUGCGGGACAAGAUGAGGGCCGCACAGAACAGACAAAAACAUUACGCUGACAAACGAAGGAAAGAACUAGAGUUUGCAGUGGGUGAUAUGGUCUAUCUCAAAAUGAUUACCUUUAAAGGUAGAGUGCGAAUUUCUGGUUGAAGGAAAUUAGAUCCAAGAUACCUAGGUCCGUUCAGAGUCAUAGAACGAGUGGGUAGUGUGGCAUAUAAGUUGGACUUACCAUCCGAGAUGGAAGCCUUCCAUAAUGUAUUCCAUGUCUCCCAACUCCGGAAGUGCUUGACGGAUCAGGACGUCUUAAUACCAGAAAUACCAUCUUAUCUAGGUACGAAUCUAACUUUGGAAACAAGGCCGGUUCGGAUCGUAGAUAGGAUGGAAAAAGCAAUGAGAAAGAAAACAAUCCAGAUGGUCAAGGUCAUUUGGGAUUGUAAUGGUCGAGAAGAGACCACUUUGGAGACGGAGGCUAGGAUGAAGGCCGAGUUACCAAAAUGGUUUGCCAGUUUGUGUUGGAUGAAACACAUGACUUGGAUUCGAGGACGAAUCCAUUGCUAGUGGGGGAGACUUGUUACAUCCCGGAUCCGGAAUAGGAUCAUUGGGACGGCCAUGGUUAGAGGAAACGUACUAGUCAGUCUUAGGACAUCAAGACAAGCGUUCCAUGGCCAAACCUUACACAAGUCGAGAGUCAGCUAGGUCGAGUAAGACGGUAGCUGGACGGAUGGAACAUGUAGCUCGACCAGCUCAACAGAGUUAGGUUAAGCUCACUCCAGCUCGGCCACUACUAAGUCAGCUCCACUAGCUGAACUACUAGCUCACUCAGCUGAGGCAGCUGGGAAUCAGCUCAUCUCAGCUGGACGGACUGUUCGGGUUUCGGUCCAAUGGUCUGGGUCCGGGCCAGUGGCGGGCCAUGGGGGUCCGGCCAUGAAACCAUGGACCGUUGGGGCUUGGGACAAGGCCAUGGGCUAACUCCAGAGGGAUUGGGUAAGGCCUUGGGCCUCUGUCCGACCCAAACGCAUGCGGUAUUGGCGAAGGGACGCAUGCGGCCGAGAGGGUGUAACUCUUGGCCGAUUGUGCCCAUCCGCUGGCCAGUCAUCCCUGUUCGUGGGGCAAGACUUACCCCCUCGUUUUCUAUAAAUAUGGGGUCCUCCCUGUCGAUUUCAUUCAUCCAAUCCAGAGUAAAAAUACUUAAAGAAAUCGUAGAGAGAGAGAGUUUCCGGCCAAAGCAAGGCCGUUUGUGUGGUGGUUAGGUUUCCGGGAUCUGAUCGUUUGUGAAGCAACCUCCGAUCAAGUAUGGGAGACCAAGAGCAGGAGAAGAACAUGGAGAACCCUGACACGGUUCAGAAGGUACGUGGUGGGCUAUGGCCCGCAUCAGACCGAACGGACGGUCCUUGUGAUCGCACCGCGGCUCUGGUCGGUUCAUUAGACCUAACCGCUUCUCCUCUUCUUGUUUCUAUCCGGUCCUUUCUCUUCUUUCUGAUUAUACACGAAGGGUUGUGUUGGUUCAGUCCAAGGGACACGUCCCUAGACUUGGCCGGUCAUAACCAAACUGCUAACCUAGACGCUGGUCGGUUAGACGAUCGGUUCGAAUCGCACCAUAAACUGGGCGGUUGGGCUAAACGGUUGGUCAUGUCCCAAGAGGCACGAGUGGCCAAAGGUCACGAGUUACCAAGGUUUGUGAGUUACCAAAGGUCACGAGUUCCAAAGGGUGUGAGUUGCCAAAGGAUGUAAGUAACCAAGGGUUACGAACAUCAAGAGGUACGAGGACCAAGAGGUACCAAGGACCGAAGGUGUGCAUGUUCCAAACGGUGCCUGUUGAGACAGGUCGUGUCCGUUCCUUAAGGGAUGAGACCAUGUCUUGUCCGUUGGGACAAGUACACGGUUCGUCUAAGCCAGGGUAAGAGUCGCAAGGUCCGAUCGGCCGUUUGGCCUAACCGGAUUGAGCGUGAGGCUUACUCGGCCGUUGGAUCCAGGCCCAAGGCUGGAUCAGGUAAGGAAGUCCGUUGGGCCAUUGAGCCGGACAUCAACUAGGCCGGUCGCACCUAGAUUCUAUCAGGAUAGAUGGAUUGGUCUUCGGGACGAUCCGGACUGUUCGUGUGUUCUGUUUAUCUAUUCUGGACUGUCUAUCUGAUUCUAAGUCAAGGGGUGGUUGGUUGAAUGACUUAGGAUUUGGUAGGCAGGUUCUUAUCUUUUUCUAAGUAUAUUGUCCGAGGUUUAUCUGUGUUAUAGGAACCAAGCCAAGCAUUGUAGAAUCGACCAGUUCUAUUCUCGGUUAUGAUUAAUGCUUAUCUGGUUGUGGUUUCAGGAACUAAGGAUGGUUCGGGUCAAGCCAAGGAGCUGUGAAGGCUCGGUCAGUGAGAGGCUGUGUAACAUGUGGUUAGAUGAUGCUAGGGAUGAACUAGUGUUUGUCUAUGAAACGAUUAAGAAGUUGUGUAUUGGAUCUCAUGUUUCUAAGUAGUACAUUUUAUACACAUUAUAUUCCGAUGUGCUAUCUGUUCAAUUGUUUUAGAACCUCAGAUUCGAACAUGACUUAGUAAAGGAAAGACUUAAAAUGAAUCAAACACGCAAAGAAAUUGAUUAAGUAGCAAACGGGUCCAGUUUUGUCGAGAGGCCGGAUUCGGGCGUUACACACACGGACACACACGGACAGCCACGGACGUCCUGUGUGUGCUGGCGGACACCCACGGACGUCCUGUGUGUACUGAACAGACAGCCUACGUGGGCCAAAAUCACCCGAACAGUCCACGGGAAGGGCCAGCGUGCUGAGUCCAAGGACCAACGUGCUGAUAUGUGUACUGAUGGACAGCCACAGACGUCCUGUGUGUACUGACGGACACACACGGACACACACGGACAGCCACAGAUGUCCUGUGUGUGCUGACGGAGAGCCACAUACAGCCACGGACGUCCUGUGUGUGCUGGCGGACACCCACAGACGUUCUGUGUGUACUGAACAGACAGCCCACAUGGGCCAAAAUCACCAAACAGUCCACGGGAAGGGCCAGCGUGCUGAGUCCAAGGACCAACGUGCUGAUAUGUGUACUGAUGGAGAGCCACGGACGUCCUGUGUGUGCUGAUGGACACACACGGACAGCCACAGAUGUCCUGUGUCUGCUGAUGGACACACACGGACAGCCACAAAUGUCCUGUGUCUGCUGACGGACACACACUGACAACCACGGACGUCCUGUGUGUGCAGGCGGACAUCCACGGACGUCCUGUGUGUACUGAACAGAGAGCCCACGUGGGCCAAAAUCACCCGAACAGGCCACAGAAAGGGUCAGCGUGCUGAGUCCAAGGACCAACGUGCUGAUAUGUGUACUGAUUGGCAGCCACGGAUGUCUUGUGUGUGCUGACGGACACACACGAACACACACGGACAGCCACGGACGUCCUGUGUGUGCAGACAGACACACACGGAUGUCAUGUGUGUGCUGACGGACACCCACGGACGUCCUGUGUGUACUGAAAAGACAGCCCACGUGGGCCAAAAUCACCCGAACAGUCCACGGGAAGGGCCAGCAUGCUGAGUCCAAGGACCAGCGUUCUGAUAUGUGUACUGAUAAACAGCCACGGACGUCUUGUGUGUGCUGACGGACACACACGGACGUCCUAUGUGUGCUGACGGACAGCCACGGACAGUCACGGAGGUCCUGUGUGUGCUGGCGGAAACCCACGGACGUCCUGUGUGUACCGAACAGACAGCCCACGUGGGCCAAAAUCACCAAAACAGUCCACGGGAAGGGCCAGCGUGCUGAUAUGUGUACUGAUGGACAGCCACGGACGUCCUGUGUGUGCUGAUGGACACACACGGACGUCCUGUGUGUGCUGACAGACACACACAGACGUCCUGUGUGUGCUGAAGGACAGCCACAGACAGCCACAGACGUCCUGUGUGUGCUGGCGAACACCCACAGACACACAUGGACACACACGGACAGCCACGGAUGUCCUGUGUGUGCUGAAGGACAGCCACAGACAGCCACGGACAUUCUGUGUGUGCUGGCGUACACCCACGAACGUCCUGUGUGUACUGAACAGACAGCCCAUGUGGUCCAAAAUCACCCAAACAGUCCACGGGAAGGGCCAGCGUGCUGAGUCCAAUGACCAACGUGCUUAUAUGUGUAGUGAUGGACAGCCACGGAUGUCCUAGUCUCAACCAUAAACGAUGCCGACCAGGGAUCAACAGAUGUUGCCGGGGGGAGUAUAGUAGCAUGGCUGAAACUUAAAGGAAUCUAAACACUUACUCUGCUGGCACCUUAUGAGAAAUCAAAGUUUUUGGGUUCCGGGGGGAGUAUAGUAGCAUGGCUGAAACUUAAAGGAAUUGACGUAAGGGAACCACCAGGAGUGGAGCCUGCGGCUUAAUUUGACUCAACACGGGGAAACUUACCAGGUCCAGACAAAGUAAGGAUUGAUAGACUGAGAGCUCUUUCUUGAUUCUAUGUGUGGUGGUGCAUGGCCGUUCUUAGUUGGUGGAGUGAUUUGUCUUCUUAAUUCCAUUAACGAACGAUACCUCAGCCUGCUAACUAGCUACGUGGAGGCAUCCCUUGAUGGCCGGCUUCUUAGAGGGACUAUGGCCGUUUAGGCCAAGGAAGUUUGAGGCAAUGACAGGUAUGUGAUGCCCUUAGAUGUUAUGGGCCGCACGCGCGCAACACUGAUGUAUUCAACGAGUUCACACCUUGGCCGACAGGCCCGGGUAAUCUUUUAAAUUUCAUCGUGAUGGGGAUAGAUCAUUGCAAUUGUUGGUCUUCAACAAGGAAUUCCUAGUAAGCGCGAGUCAUCAGCUCG
rnacentral:lncRNA from 1 species